rnacentral:lncRNA from 1 species
UGGCUCAUUGCUCAAGAUGCCUAAUUCCAUGGACUGAAUUUGGUAAGCAACAUAGUUAGGAAAAAGGUUAUUAUGCUUGUCUUGAUUGAUGCAGAGUGUGAUCCCCAAUUCUGCAAUAAGACUAGAAAAUGGAAAUGCUUUAUUAGGCUGCUUUCUAAUCAGUCCUCACUGUUGGCAGGUGGAGUUUACCUUCUUGAAGUACAUCGUAUACUGCGUCCUGGAGGUUUCUGGGUCCUUUCUGGCCCACCAGUGAACUAUGAGAACCGUUGGAGAGGAUGGAACACCACCAUUGAGGAGCAGAGAUCAG